rnacentral:rRNA from 1 species
CCUACGGGUGGCUGCAGUGGGGAAUAUUGCACAAUGGGGGAAACCCUGAUGCAGCGACGCCGCGUGAGCGAUGAAGUAGCUCAGUAUCUAAAGCUCUAUCAGCAGGGAAGCAGAUGACGGCACCUGACUAAGAAUCCCCGUCUAAGUACGUGCCAGCAGCCGCGGUAAUACGUAGGGGGCAAGCGUUAUCCGGAUUUACUGGGUGUAAUGGGGGCGUAGACGGCGCUGGAAGGCCGGUGUGAAAGCCCGGGGCUCAAACCCGGGACUGCCUUUGGAACUGUGUGGCUGGAGUGUCGGAGAGGGAGGCGGAAUGCCCGGUGUAGCGGUGAAAUGCGUAGAUAUUGGGAGGAACACCAGUGGCGAAGGCGGCCUGCUGGACCCUGACUGACGUUGAGGCUCGAAAGCGUGGGGAGCAAACAGGAUUAGAUACCCUAGUAGUC